CAUACAGAAAAAAUUGGAAGUAAAAGAAACAAAAUGAAAAAUCACUCAGCCUUGAGGUUAGGCAAGAAAUCAAACCUGAGCCUUAUGGUUUCUACUGGGCGAUCACCAGUUUUUGUACUACGAGACUGCUCAAUACAAAUUUUGUGAACAUUGGAGUUUGAAUUGUGGUGAUGUGUUGGUUGGCUUUACACCUUUUUGGUUUGUUGUUGGCACCAUUUCAUACACGUUGGUUGAUUACUACAUAUUUUCAUGUUGAAAAACAUCACAUUGACAUCAAAUUCAUUCACUUACUUCCAAAUCUAAGAUCAAACCUAUAUUUCCAAAGUUGUUCUUCAAGUUCCUUUUCUAAUUUUAUUUCAAUUGAUUUAAACUUGGAUUAAGGUAUGUUUACUGUUACAAAUUAUUUUCCAUUAAAGCCUUCAAGCACUCAUCUUGGUGGCGACAAAUAUUGUUUGAAGACAGUGAUACAUUAUGAUAUUCGUACCUUUCACUUGGUGAAUACUUGUUACUAAUUUUCUUGUUCUUCAUCAAUUUCUAGACAACACUCACCACGCCAGUACCAACUAAAUCAUUGUUACCUCAAAUCUACAACCAGCAACUACCUGUAUCUCAAAUCCGCAACAACCACCAGCAAAUGUUUGCACUCCAUUUAACUCUUUAUCCAGAUCUUGCUUUUCCGACAUUUACCGACCAUGCCUACCUCCCCCAAACUCCAUCGCCAUUCCAUACGGGACCUAUUAUUCUUAAGAUUAGGAUUAUUCAACAAAAAUGUGUCAACCUCUCUUUUCGACGUUUCUACCACCAAAUCCACCACCAUCUCUAUCUACAACCCACCACUACCCGCCUCCACCUCCACCUCCACCUUCACGUCCACCACCAUCACUCCUUGCACAUCAAUCUACAACCAUUAGACUACAAUAAACCACCAUUUCGUUAACUCGAUUGGCGACGGUGAUGCGAUAGAGAGAAAAACAUAAGCGAUGGCAAAUGAGAAGUAGUAGAAGCAAUGCAAAUUUUCUUUCCUUCAGUUGAUUUUUUUAUGGUGCUGGGAUGAACAACUUUGUAUUUUUUUUUUUUUUUUUUUUUUUUUUUGUGGCAGUAGGAGGAACACAGUCCUAUGGAUGGAAAAACAUGAUCAACUAUGUGACUUAGCA
rnacentral:lncRNA from 1 species